GAUCAAUCAAUCAAUCAAUCAAAUUUUAUUUAUAUAGCGCCAAUUCACAACAGUCGUCAUCUCAAGACGCUUUUCAAAGAACAAGAGCAGGUCUAGACCACGCUCAUAGUUUGAUGAUCAAGAACCAACCUAAGAUGGGUUUUGGCCCAUCUCAACUAACAUGAGUAGCAGUGGCAAGGAAAAACUUCCUUUUAACAGUAGAGGGAGAUGGACUGGGAGCCAUACUCACAGUGGGAGUGAAUCCGGAGGACUGGGUUGGGAGCCAGUAGAUGAGCCGAAAGGUAAGUGGCCUGUGUGCUGAGAUUUUGUAAUGAAUCCAUGAGUACCUGUAACGUGUUCUCUUGUCGUCCCAAUAGGAUUCCUUGCUGUGUUAUUGCCCUUCUGAGGGGGUCUGGGUCCGCUGGAUGCAUGUUUGGCCCGAGUAUUCUUUGACGAGUUGUGGUUCUGAACCCAAAAGCAGCCAGACAGGGAUAAGGUUUAACAGGUUUUAUUGUGCUUCCCUCCCCCACCUGUGCAGCCUUUGAGGAAAGGUAAGCAGCCAUGCAUACAGCACAAACAGGAAACGGGAUUCCAGAAAUUAUUCACCAAAAUAAAACAAUAAGUCCAUGCUCACCACACCUCCAAUCGCAUGUGAAGUGACCCACAGCAGAGUGGGGUAACCAUAGACCUAAUAUACACAAAUCAUAUACAGUAGCUCUAUCAAAAGGAGCUAUAUGAAACUGAUGGUGUGAUGUGCGGGUAAAGAGUAAAUACAGAGUGAGAUUAUUACUGUGCCUAGUAGGAUAAGAAUGUACAUUAUAAGUGAGAGUAAAACAAAAUUGAAAAGUGACAGGGAGAUCUUGGUUUCUGUAAAUAAACCUGUGAAUAAACAAACAAAUUUGAUAGUUAUUCAGUUUGUGAAUUGGUAGAAGAGAAUACUUUGUAAAUAGUGGUGUUGACGGAGCAUAUCUGUUUGAAUGUAAAAUGAAUCUUGAGAAACCUCUUCUGAAUAGUACAUCAUUUCUUGAGAUGAGUAGGAUAUGUAGCUGCACAGACCAUAUAUCGUAGUUUUUAUUUCCCUAUUUGAACUAUUGUUAUAAGGUAAAUGACGUGAUAUAAUGUUAAUGAUUCAAUUGAUUUGCUUGAACCGAGAGGUUGCUGCAAGUCUGGUCUCUAUGUAUUAUCUGUAAUUUUUGCAAUUUUUAAUAGAUUUUUUUCAUAUUUUUGUUGUCAUUUUGUUGGCAGCUGAUGGAUACUUCUGCUGGGUGACGAGUUAACUCAAGAGAAGAGCUCCUUUCAUUGAGGAAAAGCAAAACUGGACAACAACAUACAAUUCCAGAGGACAUCAGGCGGUAUUAUCAUGGUUGCCGUGCUGGUGCAAAGGUGAAGGCAAGCUGAAUGCUAGGAGGUGGCGAUACAAACCCUUUCUUCCAUCAAUCAUCAUGGGAAACGUCAACUCUCUGCCCAACAAAAGUGAUGAGCUGGGGAUAUUGGUGAAGAUUGAGAAAGCAUACCGUGAGUGCAGUUUCCUGUGUUUUACUGAAACCUGGUUGAAUCAAAACAACUUGGACACCGGUGUGGAUCGACCCGGCAUUACUCUUAUAAGGUCAGACAGAGAUGCUCAAGCUAGUGGCAAGAAGAGAGGAGGAGGUCUGGCUUUGUUUGUCAACUAGAGAUGGUGUAACCCCUCACACACAACUGUCAAGGAGAAGUUGUGUUGUCCAGAUAUUGAAUUGUUGGCAGUUGCUCUUCGGCCAUAUUAUGUUCCAAGAAAAUUCAGUCAUAUCAUAACAAUAGUUGUUUACAUCCCACCCAAAUCAACUGCAGAAAUUCCAUGCGACCUUUUGUAUAUAAGUGUUUCCAGGCUACAGACUCAACACCCUGAGACACUAAUAAUAAUAUCAAGAGACUCUAACUAUGUCACUCUCUCCUCUCACCUGACUGGAUUCACAUAGUUUGUGAACUGUCCUACUAGAGAAAACAAAACCCUGGAUCUGCUGUAUGUCAACAUCAAAGAAGCCUACAGCAGGCAUGAAAAUGGGUCAGGGGUUGAAAAGGUGAGAAGAGUGAUUGAAGAUAAUUAUUAGUAUAAUAGUAUAAUAAUCUCUUAAAUACAACGGAGUAUGAGGGCCACAUUAAGACAAAAAAAAACGUUUUUAAAUCUCAGACAAUAAAGUUAUUAUUUAGGAGAAUAAAGUCAAUAAUAUAUAAGAAUAAAGUCGUAAAGUUACCUGUUGUGGAGGAGAGUUGCUAAAAUCAGCACUGAGGAGCAUUUAGAUGAAUUUUACUAUAGUAUAGGUUUCACAAACAUGGAGAUACUUAAUCCUUUGGUACAUGAGCAUUACACUGUCAGAACUUGGAGAAAAAGAAUAUAUGAGAAAUGCUGCUUUUGUGGAGGGGAGAAUAGCUGGAAAUGGCUGUACAGAGGCUAAAUUCAUCAAUACAGCUGUUAAUAGCAAUAGCAUAGGGUUUUAGUUUAUCAUAUGAGUUUAUCUGCCAUGAGGUGUUGAGGUCUCUGCAUGUGUAGGUUACUGACUUACUGUAAUCAUCGGGUCUAUCUUGUCCUUAUAAAAACCUGCUCUAUUUCGGGGAGUGUCUGUCUUCUUCUGUAGUCAAACCGCAAGAUAUCAAAAUCUACCCGGAUACAGCAAUGCUGCUUUUUGAUUGGCUGUUCAGUAGAUAUAUACUUUAUUUGAUUGGCUUGCGCGUGGCACGCAGCUUCUGAACUCUCGGAGGAACUCAGUUGAUUUCUACCUAUUCCAUUGUUACAGAGGUGCAACUUUGUGGACAUCACCAUGUACAUAUAAAUGCGUGAGAAAUACAAUGUGUGGCGUGUGAGCGUGUGAACGGGUGGGAAUGCGUGUGUCACACGCUGAAUGCGUGAGACUUGAGAGCCCUGAAGAGCAGUAAACGCGAGACGCCCGCUUUCGCUAUUUUAGAUGGCUCAAAACUUGGAUUAUUUCGCCUUGUUGUGUACUUUCAACCGCGCUCCCGUCAGGGGGGAAUUCUACGGCACAACACCGGCGUGUCCUGCUUCAUGUUCUCGCAGCUUUGCAAUGCUACCACAGGCUCUCCAAGCACUCCAAGCACACGUGAAGAGUGUGCGCAUGAUUGGAAUAAUGGCACGCAGUUUGGCCCAUGAUUGGUUCUCGUCAGCGAAGGAGCCAGGAGGAUUUGCUGACCGUCCAAGUGUCAUUUAAAGGGCCGAUUUCUGAAGUGCUCAGUUUACGUAUUGAGUCAAUCACAUGAUAAUAAAAGAAAAACAAAAUCUCCCGACCCCCCCCCCCCCAAAAAAAAAAAGAAAUUCUCCUCGGAUCUACACGAUUCAUGUAGGUCACCCUUUUUGACUUCAAAACGGCGAAUUUCGCCGAAAGGUGAGAGAUUUUCAUGCCUGCUACAGAGCCACUGCCCUAAAACCACUGGGCAAUUCAGAUUAUAACUUGCAACUAAAGAUGGACACCUCAAACAAGUGAAGCUGUGAGGGACUGUUUUAAACCAUCAGACUGGACUGUGCUGCUGAAAACAGAUGAAGACACUGGAAGAAAUCAUCAGAAGUUUUGUGUCUAUUCAGAAAAUAUGUGUAUAUAUUGUGUGUAUGUAUAAAGGCCUCUUUCAUACUUUAAAGUAUAAUGUUAAAUUUGUUGAUGAAGUGGGAAAAAAAUCAUAAUGGGAACUCAUCAAAUGUAAUUAUAAAAACACAUGGUGCAGUAGUUCAUGUUUCAAUUAUUUCCUCAUUUUAUAUAGGCCCUUUCCAGGUAUUUUUAACAGGGGCAGAGGGAAGAGGCGUUUUCCUGCAGUGAGCCCUGUUCCUGCCAAGAAACCCAAACCAUUGAUUCUGGCUUUCUAUCUGUUGCAAAAACGAUGCAAAAAAAACCCAGAAAGAGCAGGAACAAAUAGUCCAUCUGCAGGCGGGACUGGGCCGUAGGACUGCUCAUCUGGACGAGAGCACAACACAUGAAGAGGUAACAGCAUGCAAUUAAUUAUUGUUUAUUAUUUUAUUUUUGCAGUGUUGUCUGAUUUAAAUGAUGAAUUUUGUCACUUUUUUGGAGAAGAUUGCACUUCUAUUCCUUCUCUGUAUAGUUAUGUGAUGCCCUCAAAGUUUUAUUCCCAAAAUAGAGAACAGUAACUGGUAGGCGGCUGCUAUACAAAGCAUCAGGUGAGCCAUCAAGUGGGUUAAUGUUGUCAUAAAAAAAAAAAAAGUACAUAAGCAGCAGCAAACUUCACAUAAUGCAUUGCAGAACCAAGCACCUGGACAUUACCCCCUCCAUCUGUAACUGGAUCCUCGACUUCCUCACUAACAGGCCCCAGUCUGUUAGGAUUGGCAACCUCACCUCCUCCACCCUAACCCUGAGCACUGGUGUCCCACAGGGCUGUGUGCUGAGCCCCCUCCUCUACUCCCUCUUCACCUACGAUUGCACUCCAUGGAUGGCAUGGCUCUAACACCAUCAUUAAGUUUGCAGACGACACAACAGUGGUGGGCCUCAUCAAAGACAACGAUGAGACAGCCUACAGGGAGGAGAUCCAGCACCUGGCGUCGUGGUGUGCCGACAACAACCUGGCAUUGAACACCAACAAGACUAAAGAGGUCAUCGUGGACUUCAGGAGGACUAGGGCUGUCACUCACGCUCCUAUUCACAUCGACGGAGCAGGGGUCGAACGGGUGUCCAGCUUCAAAUUCCUGGGCAUACAGAUCUCUGAGGACCUCUCCUGGACCCUCAACACCUCGUACCUGGUCAAGAAGGCCCAUCAGCAUCUCUUCUUUUUGAGGAGACUGAGGAAAGUCCAUCUAUCUCCUAAGAUACUGGGGAACUUCUAUCGCUGUGCCAUUGAGAGCAUCCUCACAUACUGCAUCACGGUCUGGUAUGGAAACUGUACUGCCUCUGACCGAAAGGCACUGCAGAGGGUGGUGAAAACUGCCCAACGCAUCACUGGAACAUCUCUCCCUGCCAUUAAGACCAUCUAUGACAGUUGGUGCCUGAGGAAGGCUCACAGCAUCAUUAAAGACCCCUCUCAUCCCAACCAUGGACUGUUCACCCUCCUCCCCUCUGGGAGAAGAUACCGGAACCUCAUUUCCAAGUCAAGCAGACUCAGGAACAGUUUUUUCCCCUCCACUGUCAUCUCCCUAAACUCCUCAUCCACUCCUCUCCCCCCUCCAGUAAUAAUGGACAUGGAGGGUCUUCACAGCAGGUGAGGAGAAAUUAUUACGAAAGUCCUUAGAAUGUCUCUCUCAUUACUGGCUGAGAGAAAAGAUCGAUAGCAUGAAAGGGAUUUCGAAAUGUUGCUUUCCACAUAUUUUUUAAUCUUUAUUGCCACAAUAAAAAGAGCAGGGUGAGAAAGGAGACAGUGAAGCUGCUACCAUUCUGCGAGGAAUGUUGCCAGAAGUCAGGGGUCUCUUUGAACAAGUAGAAAUAUUUGUGCAGUUGCUUCUUACUGUGCCUGUCUCCUCAGCUGAGGCUGAAAGAAACUUCAGUGGUCUUCGGAGGUUAAAAACCUGGCUCCGAAGCACACUGACACAGUCUCGGCUCAACAGUGUUGCUGUGUGUCAUUUCCUUAAAGAUAAAUUGGACAGAAUCAAUGGGAGACAAAUUGCUCAGCAAUUCAUUGUGGCCAAUGAGAGGCGCAGAAACACGUUUGGUUGCUUCACUUAGGUGAGAGGUACAGCUUCAAAUAUGUACAUGUUGCUUGAGGCUCCCUUCCUUAUGCCUGUUACAGAUAUAUAUAAAUGAAAAAAUGAAUGAAAUAUACAUGUCUAACAUCACAGUUAUGUAAAUAAAGGU
rnacentral:lncRNA from 1 species